rnacentral:lncRNA from 1 species
UCCUCAACUGCGACCGCCGCAAGUUCCACACUAGCCCCCGCUGCACCAUGCGGCUUCGCUCUCUGAGUUCAAGCCCCCGCUCAGCCCUAAAGCAGGGGUUCUUAACUGGAGGACUCCACUUGGGACCAGAGCCCCCGAAGUUGUCUGCCCCGUUGCUUGUAAUGUGUUUUUGUAGGUGUGCAUUUUUCUAGGGAAGAAGUUCUUGGCUGUAUCAGAUUCUUAAAGAGACCUGGGAGCAAAACAUUUGCAGAAGGAGGGCGAGGGCGGAACUAAGCAAAGACUCGAAAAGGCACACUGCUCGCUUUUUAAAUGGCCCCAAAAGCAGAUAGGCCUCUGUUUCCUCUCCCCCUUUAACCUGGCCACAAAGGGAGAUUCUGGCUGGGUGCGGAGGGGGUUGUUCUGACGAGAGUUUGAUUAGAACGGGAGCAAUAGAAGUUCGCCGUCCUGGAAUCGCUUGAACCUGGGAGGCGGAGGUUGGAGUGAACUGAGAUCGCGCCAUUGCACUCCAGCCUGGGCGACAAGAGCAAAACUCCGUCUCAAAGAAGAGGAAGAGGAA